rnacentral:rRNA from 1 species
AGAUGUGGGGUAACCGCUCACCAUGGCAAUGAUACGUAACCGACCUUAAGAGGUUAAUCGGCCACAUUGGGACUGAAACACCGCCCCAAAACUCCUACGGGAGGCAGCAGUAGGGAAUCUUCCACAAUGGACGAAAGUCUGAUGGAGCAACGCCGCGUGAGUGAAGAAGGGUUUCGGCUCGUAAAACUCUGUUGUUAAAGAAGAACAUAUCUGAGAGUAACUGUUCAGGUAUUGACGGUAUUUAACCAGAAAGCCACGGCUAACUACGUGCCAGCAGCCGCGGUAAUACGUAGGUGGCAAGCGUUGUCCGGAUUUAUUGGGCGUAAAGCGAGCGCAGGCGGUUUUUUAAGUCUGAUGUUGAAACUUCGGCUCAACCGAAGAAGUGCAUCGGAAACUGGGAAACUUGAGUGCAGAAGAGGACAGUGGAACUCCAUGUGUAGCGGUGAAAGUGCGUAGAGUAUAUGGAAGAACAGCCGAGUGCGGAAGGCGGCUGUCUGGUCUGUAACUGACGCUGAGGCGUCGAAAGUAUGGGUAGCAAACGGGAUUAGAUACCCUGGUAGUCCAUACGCGUAAACGAUGAGAUGCUAAGUGUUGGAGGGUUUCCGCCCUUCAGUGCUGCACUAAGCGCAUUAGAGCAUUGCGCCUGGGAGUACGG